UGUGUGUGUGUUUUGUAUAUAUAAUGUAAAAAUGUUUUAAGGUAAGCUUUCCCCCCUGGGCUUACCCAAUCUCUGUAGGGUCUUGGAAGCAGAAAUUUGGUAAUGUUCGUUGAAAUCCCAGAGGUAAGAGUAAGCCCUGUGAGGCAGCUGUUGGGGGAUUCUCCAGAGAAUCAGAGCUUUACUGCUGAAAGAAGAAAUUCAGGCCUCUCUCUCUCUGUCUUGCUUGCUUAGGAUUCAAAGG